CCCUUGACUCUGGGAUAACCUCCGGAAACGGAAGCUAAUACCGGAUACGACGUACGGAGGCAUCUCCUGUACGUGGAAAGAACUUCGGUCAAGGAUGGACUCGCGGCCUAUCAGGUAGUUGGUGAGGUAACGGCUCACCAAGCCUACGACGGGUAGCCGGCCUGAGAGGGUGACCGGCCACACUGGGACUGAGACACGGCCCAGACUCCUACGGGAGGCAGCAGUGGGGAAUAUUGCACAAUGGGCGCAAGCCUGAUGCAGCAACGCCGCGUGAGGGAUGACGGCCUUCGGGUUGUAAACCUCUUUUAGUAGGGAAGAAGCGAAAGUGACGGUACCUGCAGAAAAAGCACCGGCUAACUACGUGCCAGCAGCCGCGGUAAUACGUAGGGUGCGAGCGUUGUCCGGAAUUAUUGGGCGUAAAGAGCUCGUAGGCGGUCUGUCGCGUCUGCUGUGAAAACCCGAGGCUCAACCUCGGGCCUGCAGUGGGUACGGGCAGACUAGAGUGCGGUAGGGGAGAAUGGAAUUCCUGGUGUAGCGGUGGAAUGCGCAGAUAUCAGGAGGAACACCGAUGGCGAAGGCAGUUCUCUGGGCCGUAACUGACGCUGAGGAGCGAAAGCGUGGGGAGCGAACAGGAUUAGAUACCCUGGUAGUCCACGCCGUAAACGUUGGGCGCUAGAUGUGGGGACCAUUCCACGGUUUCCGUGUCGCAGCUAACGCAUUAAGCGCCCCGCCUGGGGAGUACGGCCGCAAGGCUAAAACUCAAAGGAAUUGACGGGGGCCCGCACAAGCGGCGGAGCAUGCGGAUUAAUUCGAUGCAACGCGAAGAACCUUACCAAGGCUUGACAUACACGAGAACGCCCUAGAAAUAGGGAACUCUUUGGACACUCGUGAACAGGUGGUGCAUGGUUGUCGUCAGCUCGUGUCGUGAGAUGUUGGGUUAAGUCCCGCAACGAGCGCAACCCUCGUUCUAUGUUGCCAGCGCGUAAUGGCGGGAACUCAUAGGAGACUGCCGGGGUCAACUCGGAGGAAGGUGGGGAUGACGUCAAAUCAUCAUGCCCCUUAUGUCUUGGGCUUCACGCAUGCUACAAUGGCCGGUACAAAGGGCUGCAAUACCGUAAGGUGGAGCGAAUCCCAAAAAGCCGGUCUCAGUUCGGAUUGAGGUCUGCAACUCGACCUCAUGAAGUCGGAGUCGCUAGUAAUCGCAGAUCAGCAAC
rnacentral:rRNA from 1 species